GGGAUAACUUCGGGAAACCGAAGCUAAUACCGGAUAGGAUCUUCUCCUUCAUGGGAGAUGAUUGAAAGAUGGUUUCGGCUAUCACUUACAGAUGGGCCCGCGGUGCAUUAGCUAGUUGGUGAGGUAACGGCUCACCAAGGCAACGAUGCAUAGCCGACCUGAGAGGGUGAUCGGCCACACUGGGACUGAGACACGGCCCAGACUCCUACGGGAGGCAGCAGUAGGGAAUCUUCCGCAAUGGACGAAAGUCUGACGGAGCAACGCCGCGUGAGUGAUGAAGGCUUUCGGGUCGUAAAACUCUGUUGUUAGGGAAGAACAAGUACGAGAGUAACUGCUCGUACCUUGACGGUACCUAACCAGAAAGCCACGGCUAACUACGUGCCAGCAGCCGCGGUAAUACGUAGGUGGCAAGCGUUAUCCGGAAUUAUUGGGCGUAAAGCGCGCGCAGGCGGUUUCUUAAG
rnacentral:rRNA from 1 species